UGCUUAGUAUUUCCUUCUUCUUCUUCUUUAUGCUAAACCUCUUUAAGAAAUUGAUCAUGCCAAGCACAUGUUUCCAUCCAUCAAUCAUAGGAGCCUUGAUCUCCAAUUUCUCAAAGAUCUCCUUGAAAAACUUAACCCUAUUUUCCUUCCUAGGGUUUUUCUUUUUAUGAAGAAAGGGUUCUUUACAUGACUUUUUUUUUUCUCUCUUUUCCUCUUCCUCUUAAUUUUCCUUGACCUUCUCUUUUUCUUUUUCUUCAAUUUUUUCUUUUUUUCUCUUUUUUUCUCAAUCAUGGCUUUUCCUUCCUCAUCUUUCUUCUCACUCUCAUUCACAUUUUUUAUUUCUAUCUCCUCUAUAUUUUUCUCAACAACAACUUCUUCUGUUUUUGUUUCCUCUUCCAACAUCUCUAGCUCUUCUUCUUCUUUCUUUUCCUCAUUGAGAACCUUAUCAUGUG
rnacentral:lncRNA from 1 species